GAUGAAGAACGUAGUGAAAUGCGAUAAGUAAUGUGAAUUGCAGAAUUCAGUGAAUCAUCGAAUCUUUGAACGCACAUUGCGCCCGCCAGUAUUCUGGCGGGCAUGCCUGUUCGAGCGUCAUUACAACCCUCAGGCCCCCGGGCCUGGCGUUGGGGAUCGGCGGAAGCCCCCUGCGGGCACAACGCCGUCCCCCAAAUACAGUGGCGGUCCCGCCGCAGCUUCCAUUGCGUAGUAGCUAACACCUCGCAACUGGAGAGCGGCGCGGCCACGCCGUAAAACACCCAACUUCUGAAUGUUGACCUCGAAUCAGGUAGGAAUACCCGCUGAACUUAAGCAUAUCAAUAAGCGGGGA
rnacentral:misc_RNA from 1 species